CAUAUCAAUAAGCGGAGGAAAAGAAACUAACAAGGAUUCCCCUAGUAACUGCGAGUGAAGCGGGAAAAGCUCAAAUUUAAAAUCUGGCGGUCUUUGGCCGUCCGAGUUGUAAUCUAGAGAAGUGUUAUCCGCGCUGGACCGUGUACAAGUCUCCUGGAAUGGAGCGUCAUAGAGGGUGAGAAUCCCGUCUUUGACACGGACUGCCAGGGCUUUGUGAUGCGCUCUCAAAGAGUCGAGUUGUUUGGGAAUGCAGCUCAAAAUGGGUGGUAAAUUCCAUCUAAAGCUAAAUAUUGGCGAGAGACCGAUAGCGAACAAGUACCGUGAGGGAAAGAUGAAAAGAACUUUGGAAAGAGAGUUAAACAGUACGUGAAAUUGCUGAAAGGGAAACGCUUGAAGUCAGUCGCGUUGUCCAGGGAUCAACCUUGCUUUUGCUUGGUGCACUUUCUGGUUGACGGGUCAGCAUCAAUUUUGACCAUUGGAAAAAGAUUAGGGGAAUGUGGCAUCCUUGGAUGUGUUAUAGCCCUUGGUUGCAUACAAUGGUUGGGAUUGAGGAACUCAGCACGCCGCAAGGCCGGGUUUUAACCACGUACGUGCUUAGGAUGCUGGCAUAAUGGCUUUAAUCGACCCGUCUUGAAACACGGACCAAGGAGUCUAACAUACCUGCGAGUGUUUGGGUGGAAAACUCGAACGCGUAAUGAAAGUGAAAGUUGAGAUCCCUGUCGUGGGGAGCAUCGACGCCCAGACCAGACCUUUUGUGACGGUUCUGCGGUAGAGCAUGUAUGUUGGGACCCGAAAGAUGGUGAACUAUGCCUGAAUAGGGUGAAGCCAGAGGAAACUCUGGUGGAGGCUCGUAGCGAUUCUGACGUGCAAAUCGAUCGUCAAAUUUGGGUAUAGGGGCGAAAGACUAAUCGAACCAUCUAGUAGCUGGUUCCUG
rnacentral:rRNA from 1 species